rnacentral:ribozyme from 1 species
UUUUCUUCUUUUUUCUCUUUCUUUUUCCUUCCCUCUUUGAACAAUUAGUGGGUGGACGUGUAAGUACGAAACGUACGAAAAUCUCAGUCCCUAACUCAAAGAGGCUUCGAAAGGGACU